UACGUAGGGUGCGAGCGUUAAUCGGAAUUACUGGGCGUAAAGCGUGCGCAGGCGGUCUGUUAAGACCGAUGUGAAAUCCCCGGGCUUAACCUGGGAACUGCAUUGGUGACUGGCAGGCUUUGAGUGUGGCAGAGGGAGGUAGAAUUCCACGUAUAGCAGUGAAAUGCGUAGAGAUGUGGAGGAAUACCGAUGGCGAAGGCAGCCUCCGUGGGCCGAACACUGACCGCUCGAGUGCACGAAAGCGUGGG
rnacentral:rRNA from 1 species